UCCGGUUUGUCACCGGCAGUCUCAUUAGAGUGCCCAACUAAAUGUAGCAACUAAUGACAAGGGUUGCGCUCGUUGCGGGACUUAACCCAACAUCUCACGACACGAGCUGACGACAGCCAUGCAGCACCUGUGUUCCGAUUCCCUUUCGGGCACAGCCAGAUCUCUCCAGCCUCUCGGACAUGUCAAGGGUAGGUAAGGUUUUUCGCGUUGCAUCGAAUUAAUCCACAUAAUCCACCGCUUGUGCGGGUCCCCGUCAAUUCCUUUGAGUUUUAGCCUUGCGACCGUACUCCCCAGGCGGGGUGCUUAACGCGUUAGCUAAGGCACCCAGGGGGUCAAUACCCCGGACACCUAGUGCCCAUCGUUUACAGCGUGGACUAC
rnacentral:misc_RNA from 1 species